rnacentral:lncRNA from 1 species
GGGAAGUCAGGACCAGAUGAGAAGCCAGGCUGCUCUGCCCCCGGAGCUCUGCCGAGGCCCGGCCGAGGGGACGAUUCCCAGCCAGGGAGCAGGCAGCGGCAGGGACCCCAGACCCAGGCGCGGCAGGAAGGCCAGGAAUUCACAGCCCCUGGAGGAGCCUCAGGGCCUGGAGACCUUCUCCAGGGAAUUGCUCACUCUUCCUCGUGACCCCUUGUGAUAGACCCUUGAUGCUGCAAAGAACGCGGAGCCCAGAGCCCCCCAACCCCCGCACUGAGAAGCUGGAACAAACGGAGCCUUUAUCCAAACAGCCCAGGUGGCUGGGCCCUUAUCACCCCUGAGGCUGAGGUCUCCGCUCGGGCCUCGGGAGGGGGCAGGGAGAUGCAGAGCAAGGCUGGACUCACCCGAUGUUUCUGGACAGCGGUGGCCUGGGCACGAGGGUGGUGCCGCCUGUGCAGGCUGCUGGGAGGAUGAAGCAUGGGCUGGGCUGUGGUCACGCGGGGCCAGAGAAGUCAGCUGCGAGGUGCUGUGUAAGGACCAUGUCCCUGGCAUACACACCCAGCCCGCCCCUUGGCAGAUCCAGGCUGGCUCAGCCGGGAGGCCAGCGCCCAGCGCCGCUCCGUCUGGGUCUGCUCCACAUGCUUCUCGUGCGAGGUGGUUCAGCAGCCUGGCUGGGCCACAUUUCCUAGGAUGAUGGCAGAGGCACAGGAGGGAGAGCAGGCCAACCUGCUGCCCCUUAGAGCCCAGGCCAGACCCCACCGUUGGUGCCGGUCACGUGGCCAAGCCCCAUCCAGGGUCCCAGGCGCAUGUUCCCGCUUCAGUCAGAAAAACAGUCUCGUGGCAAAGGGCUUGGAUGCGGGACAGGGUGAAGAAUUGUGGCCAAGGACGCCAUCUGCCACCCCAGUCUAAGAAACUUGGACUUGGUCCCAGGACGAUAAGGAGCCGUCAGCAGGUGACACAUAAAAGGGCUGCGGGGGGUGGGGGGAGCGGGCAGUGAUGCGACGGCUGAUACGGUUCAUCAUCCAGGGGCCAGAUGACGGUGGCCUGACUCAGGCCAGGCCAGGGGGAGGGGAGAGAUGACAGAGAGACAUUUAGAAAGAGAACGUCUGGCCCCAGAGACCCUGGGCACCAAGACGGACGCCAGCUGGCGCCUAAGGGUGCAGCCCGGCUUCCAGCUGUGAAAGGUGGGGCAUGGAGAGCGGGAGACACAGGCACCAACAGCGGUAAGAGUGGGGGGGUUAGACGAAUCUACUAUGUCACCCCAACCUUGGAGGCUGGAUCUGUGAUCAAGACCGUGUGGGAGUGGCUCUCCAGAGCCCCCCUGCCCCAAGGGCACGGGGACAGUGACACCCCUCACGGACCUACAUCAUCAGCACCCCGAGAUCCCGCAGACACCUGGACCCGGCUGGCUGUGGGAGGGGUGGCUAUUGCCCCUCCUUGGCCCAGGCGCCCGGCCCUUUAGGGAAGGGAUGCAUCCAUGGGCUCCGAGCCUGUGCCCCUGCCUGGAGGCUGGGACAGCCUCCCAUAACAUGGCCCAGGCCUCUGCUCAUCUCAGCUGGUUGCCACGGCAACCCCAGCUGCGGGGUCCAGGCCUGUGCCUCUGCGUGGGAGGCCCAGGUGGGGCGGGCAGGACAUGCCACUGACAUCCUGACACCUGCCACUCUCCGGGUCCACUGUGAACACCUGCUCCUCUGCGGCACCCUCUGUCCCCCACCGCCCUGUCUGCCCUGCGUCCCUCACUCACACAGGUCACCUGAGCCGGACACCCUGGGGACCUCUGAAGCUGCUCCCCCAGCCCACACCCCUGUAAACAGACUCACACUCCUGGCACAGAGGGGGCCACGUGCCCCCAGGCCCCACCCUGAAGCGGGGAGUGCCCCACUGGUCCGCUGUCUGCAUGGGCCAUGGGACAUCUGGAUGACAUUGUCCUUUGUCCCUGACCACUGCAGCGAAGCCUCCAGGGCCCCUCCCCCCAGAGCCCAGGGUGCUCCCCGUGAGCCCUGCUCAGCCUCCCAACCACACAGGCCCUGAGCUGGGAAGGUGCUGGGUCACCUCAGCAGGAGGACCUCCCCGCCUUGAAGGGAGGGUACACAGGAGGAAUUCCACCCCCCCAAAGCCUCCCCCACACCCACCUUUCCAGCCCCUCCCAGGGACCCCCUCCAGGGACCCCCCCCCCAGAAAGGAAGACUCUCCCGCUCCUAUCUUGUUCCCACAGUCUGAGCGCUUCAGGGUCUGGCUGAGCUGGAGCCCCGGGUGUCCCCUGCCCUGGACCCCUCAGCACCGCCCCCACAGGGUCUAGGACACUCCCCAGCCCUGGGCCCCCUGUCUCAGCAUUGGGGUACACAAGUGUGCAUUGGCAGCUGAGAGCGGGCCUGUGAGCCAGAAGGCCCCUCCCUCCCUGCUCAGCUUGGCGCCCCCCGCCGGAGGCAGGGUCAGAAAACUGGGGUGCCCGGCCACCCCCCAGCUUCCACCAGGGGCCCUCACUGUGUGGGGACCAUAGGACAAGACCCUCCCUGCACUGAUGGAUUGGAGGGGUGUCAGGCCAAGUCCUAGGGGGAGCCACCAGCCACUGUUGACCAGGGGCUUCUUAGACCCCGGAAGCCCCCAGAUCCACCCCCUCCCUCGAGAAGAAAGGAGUGGAAAGAGAGGAGGGAGAUGAAGGCAGAGGGGGUGACAUGCCUCCCUGGGCAGAUCUAGUGGCACAGAGCUGACAUGGGUGGCACCCCUCUUCCGACUGCUCCCUCCUGUCUCUCUCUCUCUCAUACACACACACACACACACACACACACACACACACACACACANACAUCACACUGAGUGCUGGGCCCCCUCUGCCAGGACUGCCUCACAGAGACGGGGAACAGUGCCCUUGGCCCCUGGCAGGGACAGGGCCACCCUGGCACCUCACAGAUGGAGGCGGCUCCUCUGUGUCCAGCAAGGUCAGAUGGCCUCUGCCACGGCCUCCCCACCCAGGGAGCGUCUCGCCAUCUGCACACACUCGGCUGCCAACUCUGCAGCCCUGGCUGGCGCUGGGCCUGCCCCAGCCCGGCCACACUGGCCUGUUUGCCCCAGCAGCCACCUUCUCCAGCGAGGGCUUGCUCCCUCCUGGGGCAAGGCCUACAGCCCUCCAUGGCUCCCCAGGUGACCAAGCCAGGGUCCCUGCAGGCCUGCAGAGUCUCUUCUGCUGGGCCUGGCCUGGCCUGGCUCUGCGCUCCCCCCCCCUACACCCCACAGCUUGUGUCCAGGCUCUGGAGAUACCCCGCGGUCCCCUUGCCUCUGGCCCGGCCACCUGCUGCCUGGCCCUUCUCUCAAGGUCUUGGAGACGAGAAAGAGGUUUGCAGCUCAGCACCCCAUCCCGACUCCACCACCACCCCCGCCCUGCCAACAAGGACAAGCCAGCCCACGUCGGCUCUCACCCAUGCAACGCACUCUACUCACGUGUGGGAUUCCUCCGCCCACAAGCACCUUCCAAGUACAGGAACUACAGCCAAGAGCAAAAGGCAGAAGCACCCGCACCGCCGGCGUCCCAGGAGCCGAGGGCCCAGCAGAGAUGAGACGGGAGAUGCCGCCUUUAAGGAGCCCCGAACCAAUGUGACCAGCGUCCUUAAAGGAAAGGAGACUAGGAGCCGGACACACACAGCAGGAAGCACGCGAGGCACCGAAGGCGGCCGUCUGCGCGCCAGGGAGGAGAGAGGAACCGACCUGCCCGCACCCUGAUCGCCGACAUCCAGCCCCCAGGGCCGUGAGAAAUGAGCAUCUGUAGGGCGUGCCACGGCGGCCCCGGCAGACCGCCGCUCUGUAGGGCAGCACCCGAGGGUCUGGUGGGCGCAGGCGUGGUGGUUGCCAUAGUUACUGAGCGCCCAGCGACGCCCAGCACGUCCCGCUUGGGCUCUGGGUAAAGUCUGCCGUCAGCGCAGUCACGGAGGCCCAGGCUGGCCAGCAGUGAGGGGCUGGCGAGCCGGGGGCCCCUGACUCCUGGGCACCGCCAUCCCCUCCUGGGGAACAGGGGAGCACCCAGCAGGGGGCGAUAAACAGGAGGCCCAGGACCUGCCACUUUACUCUGCAGAGCCCGGAUCCCAGACGCUGGCCGGCCCAGGAGCCCCCCACCCGAAUCUCCAAGUGCCCGGGAUGCCCGCCCUGUAGUGCCCUCCCAGCCCCCAACCUCACUGAAGGAGAGGGUGGGAAGCGGGCCUUCCCCGGCUGGGCCGUGACUGGCGACCGAUAAAGCUCUGCCCGCCCCCCACCCCCGCCAGAGCUCAGGGCCCGUGGGCGCCCGGAAUAUGAAUUCGCCGGUAGAGCUUCCUCCUGAGACGGUCAAGGGCUGUGUCCGAGCCAGACCCCGGAUGCGGCUUCGGGUGCAGCUUGCCAAGGUCUUGGGCAUGGCUGGAGCCUCCCCUGGGCUCCAGCUUGGCCUCUUGCGUGAUUUUACGGUUUACAUUUUGUAGAUGAGCAGACUGGGCCCCAAAAGGUGAGCAGCUUGCCUGGGGUCCCGCCUCCGAAGGGAUGGAGAGGAAUUUGAAUGCGGGGUCCUUGAUCUGCCAGCACCCCUCUUACCCACAGGUGCCCCACACGCCCCACGGGCUCCUUCUCCAAGGCUUUCCCUCUACUUGGAGUGCAGACAGGUCACCUCCUCCAGGAAGGCUUCCCGACUCCCCUCCCCCACGAGCCUGCUGGUGCACAGGCCCCCUCUCCAUGGCAGACACCCUGUCACUAGCUGACUCAACACAUUCUGGGCAGAACCGUGUCCCUCUCCGGGUUGUCUCUCUGUCCCCUGGGGCACGGCAGGGCUGGCACCUUGCUGCCCGGCCUGCUAGAUUUGUUUGUCUGAACAAUUUCCACCCUUGGGCAGUUAUGAGUAAGCUUGCGGUACCUUCAGCCAAGCUCUUUUCACUAGCUCUGUGUUUGUUUGGGCUGUUUUUGCCCUUUUAAAGUAAAAAUAGUUUAUUUUUAACA